UUGAAAGCCAUGGCGUGAGUACCCGCGGAGUCCAUCGUGGAAGAGUUGAUGCCCCGGCUGUUGCCAGUGGAGCCUUGCGACCUGACGGAAGGCUUCGAUCCUUCGGUACCCCCGAGGAUGCCUCAGGAAUACCUGAGGUGGGUCCAGAUCGAAGCAGCUCAAUGUCCAGAUGCUGUGGUAGCUCAGAUUGACCCAAAGAAGUUGAAAAGGAAGCAAAGUGUGAAUGUUUCUCUUUCAGGAUGCCAGCCUGCCCCUGCAGGUUAUUCCCCUACACUUCAGUGGCAACAGCAACAAGUAGCACAGUUUUCAACUGUUCGACAGAGUGUGAACAAACAUAGAAGUCACUGGAAAUCACAACAGUUGGAUAGUAAUGUGGCCAAGUCAAAAUCUGAAGAUGAAGAAGGCUGGAACAAAUUUUGUCUGGGUGAAAGGUUUUAUGCUGAAGGGGCUGUUGGACCAGCUACUAAUGAGAGUCCUGGAAUUGAUUAUGUACAAAUUGGUUUUCCUCCCUUGCUUAGUAUUGUUAGCGGAAUGAAUCAGGCAACAGUAACCAGCGUCUUGGAAUAUCUGCAUAAUUGGUUUGGAGAAAGAGACUUUACUCCAGAAGUGGGAAGAUGGCUUUAUGCUUUGUUGGCUUGUCUUGAAAAACCUUUAUUACCUGAGGCUCAUUCACUGAUUCGGCAGCUUGCAAGGAGGUGUUCUGAAGUGAGGUUCUUAAUGGAUAACAAAGAUGAUGAAAGAAUUCCUGCUUUGAAUUUAUUCAUCUGCUUGGUUCGCAGGUAUUUUGACCAGCGUGAUUUAGCUGAUGAGCCAUCUUGAUGUAGCUGAUCUCUGAGGGAUAGAAGCUAUUCCUGAUGAGGGCAGCCUAAGUCUGAGGAAGUGCAAGGCCAAUGCAAGUGCAUAUCGCCUCACAUCUUCAACACUAUUUGAAGUGUUGUCAUCUUAACCUGUGUGACUCAAGUUGUUCCUCAGAAUAUAGACUAUCGAUUUGAAUGUCUGAAAUGUCUAUGGAAAAUUGCACCUAGUUUUUGAUAAACAGUUUUCUGCAGUCACAUGAGUU